UCUCACUCUGUUGCCCAGGCCGGAGUACAGUGCUACAAUCUUGGCUCACUGCAACCUCCGACUCCUGAGUUCAUGCAGUUCUCCUGCCUCAGCCUCCCAAGUGGCUGGGAUUACAGAUUUAGUUUUGCCAAAGAACGAAACUGGAGGCAUCAUGCUACCCAACUUCAAGCUAUACCACAGAGCUCCUGUAACCAAAAUAACAUAGUACUGGUACAAGAACAGAGACAUACACCGAUGGAAUGGAAUAGAGAACCUAGAAAUAAGACCUCACACCUACAACUAUCUGAUUUUUGACAAACUUGACAAAAACAAGCAAUGGGGAAAGGACCAUUAAAUGGUGCUGGGAUAACUGGCUAGCCAUAUGCAGGUUGAUUGAAACUAGACCCUUUCCUUACACCAUAUGCAAAAAUUAAGAUGAAAUAAAACUAAAAUAUAACACCCCAUACUAUAAAAACCCUGGAAGACAACAUAGGCAGUACCAUUCAGGACAUAGGCCUGGGCAAAGUUUCAUGAGGAAGAUGGCAAAAGCAAUUGCAACAAAAGCAAAAAUUGGCAAAUGGGAUCCAGUUAAAUGAAAGAGCUUCUGCACAGCAAAAGUAACUAUCAACAGAGUAAACAGACAACCCACAGAAUGGGAGAAAAUUUUUGCAAACUACGUAUCUGACAGAGGUCUAAUAUCCAGCAUCUAGAAGAACUUAAAACACAUUUACGAGGAAAAGAAUCCAUUAAAAUGUGGGCAAAGGACAUGAAGAGACAUGUUUCAAAAGAAGACGUACUUGUGGGCAAGAAUCAGAUGAAAUAAAGCUCAACAUCACUGAUCAUUAGAGAGAUGUAAAUCAAAGCCACAAUGACACCAGUCAGCAUGGGUGUUAUUAAGAAGUCAGAAAAUCACAGAUGCUGGCGAGGUUGUGGAGAAAAAGGAAUGCUUAUACGCGGUUGGUGGGAGUGUAAAUUAGUUCAACUGUUGUGGAAGACUGUGUGGAAAUUCCUCAAAGACCUAAAGAUAGAAAUACCAUUCAACCCAUAAAUCUCAUUAGUGGGUAUAUAUAUAUAACCAAAGGAAUAUAAAUCACUCUAUUAUAAAGACACAUGCACAUGUAUGUUCAUUGCAGCACUCUUCACGGUAGCAGAGACAUGGAAUCAGCCUAAAUGCCUGUCAAUAAUAGACUGGAUAAAGAAAAUGUGGUACAUAUAUACCAUGGAAUACUGUGCAGCCAUUAAAAAGAACAAGAUUAUGUCCUUUGCAGGGACAUGGAUGAAGGUGGAAGCCAUUAUCCUCAGCAAAGUAAUGCAGGAAGAGAAAAGUCAAAUACUGCAUGCUGUCACUUAUAAGUGGGAGCUGAAUGAUCUGAACACAUAGAGGGGAACAACACACACUGGGGCCUAAUUGAGGGUGGAGGGUGGGAGGAGGGAGAGGAUCAGGAAAAAUGACUAAUAGGUACCAGGCUUAAUACCUGGGUGAUGAAAUGAUCUGUACAAUAGACUCCCAUGACACACAUUUACUUAUGUAACAAUCCUGCACAUGUACCCCUGAACUUAAAAGUUGAAAAAAAAAAAUUCAGUCUUGCCUUUGGUUUUUAGCAUUUUUACUAUGAUAUGCCUAGAUGUGGCCUUUUUUU